rnacentral:siRNA from 1 species
AUGUGGUUGGUGUACUAGAUGACA